UACGUAGGGACCAAGCGUUGUUCGGAUUUACUGGGCGUAAAGGGCGCGUAGGCGGCGCGGUAAGUCACUUGUGAAAUCUCUGAGCUUAACUCAGAACGGCCAAGUGAUACUGCAGUGCUAGAGUGUGGAAGGGGCAAUCGGAAUUCUUGGUGUAGCGGUGAAAUGCGUAGAUAUCUGGAGGAACACCGGUGGCGAAGGCGGCAUCCUGGACCGACACUGACACUGAGGAGCGAAAGCCAGGGGAGCAAACGGG
rnacentral:rRNA from 1 species